UAAGAUCCCAGCGGAGGCGCAUGUUUUUUGUGUCAUGGCGUAAAGGAUCUUGAAAAAUAGAGGAAUAUGUUCGGAAAAUUAUUGAAAAAGUGUUUAGAAGGAAAAUCUGCCGGAAAAGUGAAGAAAAAUGUUGUAAAAAUACGGAGUCGUGAUGAAAAGUUGUGGAAAAAGUCCGGACAGCCAAAAUAUAAGGAACAAUUAAAAAAAAUUGCAAUGUGUGAAAAAGGAUCGAAAAAAGUCAAUGAAUCGCCUGGGCUUCCAGCAUUCAUUUAAGUGGAAAGAAGGCGAAGAAGAUGCAACAAGGAGGCAAGUAGUACAAGCCGACAAAGAGUGCAAGGCGAUAUGGGCUAAAAGUGAAUGAAAGUGAUUGGAAAAAAUAAGAGUAAUGCAGGAACUACACGUAUGAAGAGCGGAAAGCAGACAGCAACAAAAGGAAACAGCAAGUAAUUUUCAACGCUACACUAUCGUAUUACACAUAGGAACAGGCCACUCAAAUUGGGAGCCAUCUCACGCACUACCAAGCGGUGGAUAAUACAGGAAAAUCCGAGAAAAUGGAAAUAAAUCUCUCUCAGAUGCUACCCUUGGCACUAAUCGGAAUUUGGAAACCAAUCAAAGAGCGCUUCCGAUUCCCUCUCCGCUUACCUUUCUGAUUGAUGACCUUCGGACGACGACAACCCACCCCCACCCCUCCGGGAAAGUGUGGGGCUUGUGGAAUAUAUUGACAACUUUGAUCUUUUUAAUUUCUGCCCCUGGAAUUUGAAACUUUUUGCCGACCAGUUGUCACACACAUUUGGGAGUCAAGUUGUCAACGGCACUGUUGCCAUGUUUCCUCGUGCCUUUGCCCUUGCCCUUUUCCCUCCCACGGAUUAUUAUUAUUUUUUUUUUGUUAACCCACCCCCGUGGUCCGAGGAGAGGGGUGUAACAGGAGCCACGCAGGUGGCAACUUGUCGCCACUUUAUUAACUGUCAAUCUGGUUGGCAUUUUUUGUGCUUUCCUGAGCUGGAAAUCCAAAAAAUGUAAUACUCUUCCAAAGAUAGGGAGUCUGAAUUAGGUGCGAAGAAAAUCCUGCCCUACAGAGAUUUGAUAGACGAUCUACUUGACAAUAAAUUUAUGUUUGUUUCACCUUA
rnacentral:sRNA from 15 species